AUGGGGUUUCACCACGUUGGCCAGGCUGGUCUCAAACUCCCAACCUCAAGUGAUCCACCCGUCUCGGCCUCCCAAAGUGCUGGAAUGACAGGAGUGAGCUACCAUGCCUGGCCUAGAAUACAUCCUUUCUCAGAAAGAGGCUACGUUUGCACAGAGCACUGGACCUGGGGAAGCGCCUUAACACAGCCCUACGGAGAAGCCCAGGGAGCCACACUGGCCUGCAGCACCAGCCACCAGCUGUGGAGCUUUCUUGCUGUCUAGUACAGAACUGCAGGCAGAGAAAAAGGCAAAGAUUUGCCUGAAGCAAAUACGUCAAAUCCUUCCGCAAACACACAUACCCCCGAACACCGACUCCAAAGAUACGGAGGAGAAGAGGCCUACUUGAUUAGAUUUCUUUGGGGCCUGUCGCCUAAUUUUGUUGCGCGUCUUAGCGUGAGGUCCCUGUAGUGACUCUGUAGCGUGUUUAAUUUCUCAAAGCCAUUCACAGGCUGGUGUGUAAACUCUCAUCUCUGGAUGUUACCGAAGGACCCUUGCGAAUUACAGCCCUCAAAUCGGUGGCCUUGUGGGCAGUUAACGAAGGAAGGAGUUAAGGCUGAGUUCAGGUCCCAUCCCAGCCUCCUCAUUCCCCAGGACCAUGUUCCUUCCACAAGUCACUUUGCUUCUCCAGGCCUCAGAUUCCCAUUUGUGAAAUGGGGACAAUAAUUCUCCCUACUUCUCAGAGCUUUUCUGAGUAUCCUACGAGGUCAGCUCUCUAAGGCCUCAGACCCAGUCCUGGGCAGGCAGUAGGUCUUUGAUAAAUGAAGUAAUUUUUGUCGUUGUUUUUGAGUCUCGCUCUGUCGCCCAGGCUGGAGUACAGUGGCACUAUCUUGGUUCAGUGCAACCUCCACCUCCCGGGUUCAAGAGAUUCUCAUGCCUCAGCCUCCAGAGUAGCUGGGAUUACAGGCGCCCGCCACCACACCCAGCUAAUUUUUGUGUUUUUAGUAGAGACGGGGUUUUGCCAUGUUGGCCAGGCUGGUCUUGAACUCCUGACCUCAAGUGACCCACCCACCUCAGCCUCCCAAAGUGCUGGGAUUGCAGGGGAGAGCCACCAUGCCCAGCCUGAGAAGUGAAAUAAUUUGAUCUCAGCCGGAAGAGCUUGGGGAACUGGUGAAAUCAGUCCCAUUUAGGGGAGAUACCUCCCUCUGGUGAGAGGGCCUUAGUCUAGACACAACCAUUUGAUCAUUUCUGGCCGUAGAUCCGUGGUCUCGAACUUGACUAUGCUUGAAAUG
rnacentral:lncRNA from 1 species